rnacentral:RNase_P_RNA from 1 species
CGGCCGGCCUAGAGGAAAGUCCGGACAUAAUUAAGGGGUAGUGGGUAACGCCCACCUCUUUUGAGGGCAACUUUAAAAGACGGGAAAGUGCCGCAGAGACUAUACUAUCCAGUCGGCUUAAGCUGACUGGAAAAAGGUGAAAAGUAAACCGGUGUUUUAGUGGUUAUUACCUUAAAGCUACGGUUUUCGCCCGCCGGCAACGGUGACGCGUGGCAAACCCUACCUUAUGCAAGGCCGUGUCCGGUUCCAAGCCUGGUUAAACAGUAACGCUUUUUAACCAAGCUGUUUAGCUGGGCUGGGACCGGAAGAGCCGCUUUGAGCUUUGUGGCAACGCAAAGCCUAGAUAAAUAGCCACGAUUCAAUUUUUGAAUACAGAAUCCGGCUUAUAGUUUUGGCCGAUGU